rnacentral:tRNA from 1 species
GGGCUUGUAGUUUAGCUGGUAAAAUGACGGUCUCCAAAACCGUAGUCUCCAGUUCGAAUCUGGGCGAGCCUGCCA